GUGUCAGCAGCCGCGGUAAUACCCGCAGCCCAAGUGGUGCUCGUUAUUAUUGGGCCUAAAACGUCCGUAGCCGGCCCUGUAAAUCCAUGUGGAAAUCGGAGUGCUUAACGCUCCGAAGAGCGUGGACACUGCAGGGCUUGGGACUGGGUGAGUUCGGAGGUACUUCCGGGGUAGGGGUGAAAUCCUGUAAUCCUGGAAGGACCACCAGUGGCGAAGGCGUCCGAAUAGAACGGAUCCGACGGUCAGGGACGAAGCCCUGGGGCGCAAACGGGAUUAGAAACCCCCGUAGUCC
rnacentral:rRNA from 1 species